rnacentral:misc_RNA from 1 species
AGCAGCCGCGGUAAUUCCAGCUCCAAUAGCGUAUAUUAAAGUUGUUGCAGUUAAAAAGCUCGUAGUUGAAUUUCGGGGUUAGCAGGUCGGUCGUGCCAUUGGUAUGAACUGGUCUCGCUGAUCCCUCCCUCUUGACGAACUGUGAUGCCAUUAAUUUGGUGUCGCGGGGAAUCAGGACUGUUACUUUGAAAAAUUAGAGUGUUUAAAGCAGGCUCACGCUUGAAUACAUUAGCAUGGAAUAAUGAAAUAGGACGUUUGAUCCUAUUUUGUUGGCUUCUAGGAUUGACGUAAUGAUUAAUAGGGAUAGUUGGGGGCAUUAGUAUUCAAUUGUCAGAGGUGAAAUUCUUGGAUUUAUUGAAGACUAACUACUGCGAAAGCAUUUGCCAAGGAUGUUUUCAUUAAUCAAGAACGAAAGUUAGGGGAUCGAAGACGAUCAGAUACCGUCGUAGUCUUAACCAUAAACUAUGCCGACUAGGGAUCGGAUGAUGUUAAUUUUUAAUGACUCAUUCC